rnacentral:rRNA from 1 species
AGAGUUUGAUCCUGGCUCAGAAUCAACGCUGGCGGCGUGCCUAACACAUGCAAGUCGAACGAGAAAGUGGAGCAAUCCAUGAGUAAAGUGGCGCACGGGUGAGUAACACGUGACUAACCUACCCUUGAGUGGGGGAUAACCUAGGGAAACCUGGGCUAAUACCGCAUAACACCUACGGGUCAAAGGAGCAAUUCGCUUAAGGAGGGGGUCGCGGCAGAUUAGCUAGUUGGCGGGGUAAUGGCCCACCAAGGCGGUGAUCUGUAUCCGGCCUGAGAGGGCGCACGGACACACUGGAACUGAAACACGGUCCAGACUCCUACGGGAGGCAGCAGUGGGGAAUUUUGCGCAAUGGGGGAAACCCUGACGCAGCAACGCCGCGUGGAGGAUGAAGUCCCUUGGGACGUAAACUCCUUUCGACCGGGACGAUAAUGACGGUACCGGAAGAAGAAGCCCCGGCUAACUUCGUGCCAGCAGCCGCGGUAAUACGAGGGGGGCGAGCGUUGUUCGGAAUUAUUGGGCGUAAAGGGUGCGUAGGCGGUUCGGUAAGUUUUGUGUGAAAUCUUCGGGCUCAACUCGAAGCCUGCACAAAAUACUGCCGGGCUUGAGUGUGGGAGAGGUGAGUGGAAUUUCCGGUGUAGCGGUGAAAUGCGUAGAUAUCGGAAGGAACACCUGUGGCGAAAGCGGCUCACUGGACCAUAACUGACGCUGAUGCACGAAAGCUAGGGGAGCAAACAGGAUUAGAUACCCUCGUAGUCC